AACAGGGGCGCCCACGAAUAGUGGGCUGAGAGGCACCCUUGGAACCUGACCCGGGUCAUGCCGGCGUAGGGAGUUGGC
rnacentral:ncRNA from 1 species